UCAAGUGAUAUCAAAGACACCUGAUGUUAGAGCUCUGGAAUAGUGGCUAGAGAUGGGAUUGCUGAAGUCCAGAAAGGGUUGGACACAUUUAAGAAGUCACACAGCAAGAUAAGACACUGCUGCACUGAGCAGGAGCUGCUCUGUUCCUGGCUGGGCUUCCUUUGCGAAUUCGGCCUUCAUUUCCUGGGUGAGAAACAGGCAGGUGUCAAUCUCGUUGUUGCUUAUGUUGGCAAAGCUGUAGAUGAUGUGGGUACAGAGGAAGCGGUUGAUGGCAUCAGGGAAGCAGCUCCCAUCACCAUCCCGGUACUGGG